UGGCACAAUGGUUAAGUGCUCGGCUGCUAACUGAAAGAUCGGAGGUUCAAACCCUCC
rnacentral:tRNA from 1 species